AUUGAACGCUGGCGGCAGGCCUAACACAUGCAAGUCGAGCGAGCUGCUGACGGGUUAGUAAUGUAUGGGGACUGCCCGAUAGAGGGGGAUAACUACUGGAAACGGUGGCUAAUACCGCAUACUAUCGGAUAACCCAUAUUGGAUUAGCUAGUAGGUGGGGUAAAGGCUCACCUAGGCGACGAGCUCUAUCUGGUCUGAGAGGAUGAUCAGCCACACUGGGAUUGAGAAACGGCCCAGACUCCUACGGAGGAAGAAGUGGGGAAUAUUGCAAAAUGGGCGCAAGCCUGAUGCAGCCAGGCGGAGUGUAUGAAGAAGGCCUUAGGGUUGUAAAGUACUUUCAGCGGGGAGGCGUUAGCCGCAGAAGAAGCACCGGCUAACUCCGUGCCAGCAGCCGCGGUAAUUC
rnacentral:rRNA from 1 species